rnacentral:misc_RNA from 1 species
AUAUGACAUCAACUGAUAAUGAGAUCAUUGACCAUAUGAGCCAAACCAAAAAAUUGCCCUAUUUGAUAAACAUGGCAAAUCCUCAACCUCACAAAAACAGAACGUACACAAACUGAAUUAGUUUUACUCUCAUUUGAUUAAUCGUUUAAAGGUACAGCUUAUGCAUAUCAAAAACAUUUUGGAGGAUUUGAUUCCCAAAGCCCCAGAUUAGUCAAAAUUCGAAAUUUUUAUUUCUUUUCCAACCUUCUUCUUCCUUGUGAAAAGAAUCAAAGCUUUAGUAAAGAUCCUUCGGGAAAAUGGUAAAAUCAUAAGAUAUUAGAAAGAUUUUGGGUGAAAGAACCAGAACAAUGAAUACAUGCUACCUCUACUUUAGAUAAUAUCAAGGGGCAAAAAUCAAAAUUAACAAUUCUGUACUUGGUUGUCAAAAACCUAAGGAGAACAAACCUCAAAUCUCCUAUUCUAUCCGCAGAAAAUGAAAGUUUUUUUCUUCUCAUCUGCUAAUCAGAGAGAAACCAAAGAUUCAAAUAUAUACUACAUAUCAUUUUACUGCUUUUAUUUCAGCAACCAAAUAAAGCAUUGAGAAACAAUAUUAACGAGCAUUUGCA